rnacentral:rRNA from 1 species
GGCAGCUUGCUGGACUGUAACUGACGCUGAGGCACGAAAGCGUGGGGAUCAAACAGGAUUAGAUACCCUGGUAGNNCACGCCGUAAACGAUGAAUGCUAGCUGUUAGCGAUAUACUGUUAGCGGCACAGAGAAAUCGUUAAGCAUUCCACCUGGGGAGUACGCCGGCAACGGUGAAACUCAAAGGAAUUGACGGGGGNCCGCACAAGCGGAGGAACAUGUGGUUUAAUUCGAUGAUACGCGAGGAACCUUACCUGGGCUUAAAUUGCAGUGGAAUAACGUGGAAACAUGUUAGCCUUCGGGCCGCUGUGAAGGUGCUGCAUGGUUGUCGUCAGCUCGUGCCGUGAGGUGUCGGCUUAAGUGCCAUAACGAGCGCAACCCUCAUCGAUAGUUACUAACAGGUUAAGCUGAGGACUCUAUCGAGACUGCCGACGUAAGUCGUGAGGAAGGUGGGGAUGACGUCAAAUCAGCACGGCCCUUACGUCCAGGGCUACACACGUGUUACAAUGGGGGGUACAAAGGGCAGCUACCUGGCGACAGGAUGCUAAUCUCUAAAACCUCUCUCAGUUCGGAUUGGAGUCUGCAACCCGACUCCAUGAAGCUGGAUUCGCUAGUAAUCGCGCAUCAGCCACGGCGCGGUGAAUACGUUCCCGGGCCUUGUACACACCGCCCGUCAAGCCAUGGGAGCCGGGGGGACCUGAAGUAUGCAACCGUAAGGAGCGUCCUAGGGUAAAACUGGUGACUGGGGCU